rnacentral:tRNA from 1 species
GGAAGAGUGGCCGAGCGGCUGAAGGCGGCGGCUUGCUAAGUCGUUAUGCGGGACACCCGCAUCGAGGGUUCGAACCCCUCCUCUUCCGCCA